UCUGGAGAAACAGGCCAUUGAUCCAGGAGCACAUAAAACCAACUGAGUUUUGCCCUGAAGUGGAGUGUUUGGCAGGUGUUUCUGAGGCGAUUUGAGGAGCAUCCUAAACAGAUUGUCAAGGACACUUGGGAACAAGGGCAACUGUAAAUCAAAUCCUUCCCUCUCUUUCCCGCUGCUGCCUAACUUCAUCUAUUAACUGUGAAAUAAUGACAGCUAAAACUUUUUGACAAGCACCGUGAGUACUUCAAGGGCUUGCCUUUACUGCAAAGCCAGUAAAAGUCCAAUCUUGUGUUUAAUAAGGUGGGAGGGGACAGAGAGGGUGAAGUUCCACUGAGUUAGGAGUUUAUGGAAUGCAUUACUGGUAAGUUUCACUGUGAGAAGUUUACAGACGUGACUUGAUGUCUGAUGCCUUGCAUCUCCUCGUGUCUUUGGUUUUUGCUUUUGUUUUAGUCUUUGUUUUGUUUGUUUUGUUUUAUUCUAGGGUUUGAAUAUGUGCCCUCCCCCAAAUUCAUCCAUUCUACUAAUUGUGUUUGGACACCUGUUACCAUCUCUCCAUCUCCUUCUCAGGCUUCAGUAAUCGCCACUGUGCAUCCCAAUUGACUGUUUUUUUGUUUUUGAGGGGGUGGUUUGGGUACUAGGGAUUGAACUGGGGACCUUGCACUUGUGAUGCAGGCAGAGGAAUCACUGAGCUAAAUCCCUGGUCUGGCAACAUGUUUUUUGACACAUAGGUAAGUACUAGGAAAAAAUAGGUGACUCAGUAGUAAAUUCUCAUGUCUUUGGAAUUCUAUUUCCUACUCAUGGGGCGCAUAGGAACAUGCCUGUGUCCCCAUAAAACAAACGUUCAUGUUUAAAAUUAAUUUUUCAUCUUCAUUGUGAAGCCUUCCUGACAGUACACAGAAGUGACUCUUGUUCUCACUGUGUGCAUCCCUUUUAAUUGCGUGUUUUCUCUCAAUUGUUUGUGCUUAUGUGUGAGUCUUGCUCUCAGUAGGAUGUGAGUUUCUGAUGAGCCAUGACAGUAUCAAGUGCACUUCCUGCUCCUCACAUGGACCACGGGUGGGGCGUAUCAGAUGCUCCAGUCCUGCGCCCAUUCACUGCUUUGAUUUCCAAAUAGUGACAAGAUUCCCGUUCAUCUAGCAAACAGAUCUCCAGCAAUUCCAGAACACUCUAAAGGACCCUGAUUAUGCUGUACCUCGUGAAUAAUCCGCAUCAGGACUUCUUUCCACAGCCUCCCCGCCUAGCCUGUGAUAUUGCUUGAUCCUUCCUCACAGCAAGUCUGCAAAAGUUUUGAAUUAGCAAGCAAUAAUCCUCCAGCCAGGAUGAACUGAGGACAUGGCUGACUCCAGGGUGGAUGUGGAGAACACAAAAUACCCUCCCCACACAGAUCAGACAAUACCUUCCCUGGAAAAGAAAGACACCAUGUUAAUUGUCUACUCCAGUCUGCUGCAUAAUGAGCCACACCAGUGAUGAGUCAGUCCAUUUGUUCCAGUGAGACGUGUGGAAAAUCCCAGGAAAGAGGUAGAUGCAGAUGGUUUGAUGGACCUUGGGAGACUUGGGAAUAAGAAGAUCCUGGAUUCACCCCCUGCCAAGGCAUCUCACUGGUUGGGAAAGAGAAGAGAAGAUGCCUGAUUCUUGCAGUCUACGGCUUAUGAAGGAAAUCAUUGUCUGGAGGAGAAGUCGAAAUUCUUCAAGGUGAAGAAAAAUAUAAAGUCACAUAUGACUCUUGGCAUAGUGCCCUUUGGAUCAGUGUAAUAAUUCUCCCCAUUUUAAAGUAUAUAAUCUUCUUGGAAAUUUGAAAAAGACUUCGAAGUUAAAAAGGCGGAGAGAAACAACAAUGCUAAACUCUCUACUGUUUGACUUUCUCUAAUCUUCAUGACAUAAUGCAGACAAAUGUUUAUAUGUAUAUUUUUCUCAUUUUCUGAUUGCCAGUUUGAACAUUUUGAACAACACGUACAAAAUGAAGAGAAAAGAAACAGAAAUCUUUCAUAAUUUUAUUCCCCAGAGAUGACUACCAUGGAUAUUUUAAAGUUUUUCUUAUAAACUUAUAUGGUAUUGUUUUCAGUUGUUGAAACCAAGCUCCACAUUCUAGUAUUUUAAGAACAGAAAAAAAACAGGACAAGAAUGAUCAUAGGAAACAGGUUCUCUAUAAACGCAUGUGUUUUCCUCCAAUAUUUAUAUUCUAUAAACGUUGCAGAUAUGUUUAGCUAUGUAGCCUAUUAUAUUAUAAAGCUCCACCUACAACAAUCAUAUCUUGCUCCCAGACACAGCCUCAAAGUCUAGAAUAAUAUGUAGGCCUCUAAAGAUAGAGUA